rnacentral:rRNA from 1 species
UGUAUAAUGGGUCAGCGACUUAUAUUCUGUAGCAAGGUUAACCGAAUAGGGGAGCCGAAGGGAAACCGAGUCUUAACUGGGCGUUAAGUUGCAGGGUAUAGACCCGAAACCCGGUGAUCUAGCCAUGGGCAGGUUGAAGGUUGGGUAACACUAACUGGAGGACCGAACCGACUAAUGUUGAAAAAUUAGCGGAUGACUUGUGGCUGGGGGUGAAAGGCCAAUCAAACCGGGAGAUAGCUGGUUCUCCCCGAAAGCUAUUUAGGUAGCGCCUCGUGAAUUCAUCUCCGGGGGUAGAGCACUGUUUCGGCAAGGGGGUCAUCCCGACUUACCAACCCGAUGCAAACUGCGAAUACCGGAGAAUGUUAUCACGGGAGACACACGGCGGGUGCUAACGUCCGUCGUGAAGAGGGAAACAACCCAGACCGCCAGCUAAGGUCCCAAAGUCAUGGUUAAGUGGGAAACGAUGUGGGAAGGCCCAGACAGCCAGGAUGUUGGCUUAGAAGCAGCCAUCAUUUAAAGAAAGCGUAAUAGCUCACUGGUCGAGUCGGCCUGCGCGGAAGAUGUAACGGGGCUAAACCAUGCACCGAAGCUGCGGCAGCGACACUGUGUGUUGUUGGGUAGGGGAGCGUUCUGUAAGCCUGUGAAGGUGUGCUGUGAGGCAUGCUGGAGGUAUCAGAAGUGCGAAUGCUGACAU